CGCUGCGCUGGGGCCCGAGGCCCAGUGGGUCUUGCCAGUUUCUGGAGGCGGGCGGCCUCGCCUCUGACCGCAACCCCAGCUACUUAAUGAUCCCGCUGGUGGAGCGGCGCCUCCGUGGACUCGUGGACUCCCCAGCCUCUGAGACGUGGGUUCUUGAAAGAACUGCCCCUUGGCCCGGCGUGGGGCCUUCCCAAAAGUUGCUUCUAACAACGGGAGGGGGCAGUUCCUAGAAUUUGGGCAUGGGAAGGCGCAGAGGCUCGAGGUUUUCACAUUCAGCCCUUUCAAGUUGUGGCUGUAAGGUCACGAAUCUGGAGGGGCGGUCGGGAGGAUAAAGCGCCCGGCCUAUCUUGUGUUGCCCUCACCCCACCCUGCGCCGCCGCCAACAGGCUCACCGGCUCCAAGAAAGUUCUCCUCCCAAAGGCCUCCAGACCACGAGUUUAUCCGCUCUUUAUUGGGCCUGCUCUGUGCCAGACACUGUUGUAGGCACUGGGGACGCGGUGGUCACGAGACCUGCUAGGGCUCUGCCGGCGUGGCGGUCAUGUUGGAACUGACCGCCCCCUACUUGUGCAAUUAAGUGGCGGGCCUCGGACACUAGUGUAUCUGGGACCCCUGAGCGGUCGAGCCAGGGGCCCCCCGGGAGCCUGAGGGUGGCACUUCCCCUACCUGCUUAGUGUCCUCGACUCACCUGGCCGAUGAGGCCGGGGAGGGGCGUGUGCCCGCGCGAGUGUACCCGGGCGCCCGUCCGUGCGCGCGCGCGCGUGUGUGUGUUUGCGGCUGAAACCCGACACCUCCCGCUGGCUGAGGUCAGGGAGCCUGGAGCGAGCCAGUGGCCCGGGAGUGGGCGGCGUUGCGCUUGGGUGUGUCCUCGGCGGCGGCGACAGCAGCAGGUGUUUCUUGGCCGGGGCCCCGGAAGCUCCACCUCCCCAGCGGCCCGAGCCGCCGCCACCGCCGCCGCGCAGCCCGGGGUGAGAUAAGCAGUUUAGACAAACACUGGGCGACGGUGGCUCCAGCAUGUGUCAGCCGAGGCGGAGCUGCGGGGCCCUGGCAUGAAAGCCCUUCCUGCUCCGCCUGGAUGCGCCUCCCCGCCCCCAGCCCUCCCGGGCCCGCGGCCGCGCUGAUGGGCGGCGAGUGGCCCGACCGAGUGGAGCCGAUUCAAUUAUAUUGCAGCACCAGAGACACCUCCUCGGCCGCCCGCCCGCCUCUCCAGCAGGCUAAUUAAAUUCCCUUCGUGGAGGCGGAGCGGGAGUUGGGCUCGCCCUCCGCGGCUCCGGGUGGGGAACCAGUGGACCACUUGAGAAGUGUGCAGUGGAGGCUCCCAGCGCAGGGGGAGAAGGGGGGUUCUCGGGACUGGGGGGGAGAGGUGCCUCGGGUACCUCCCCCAUCCAGCUCGCUGGGUCCGGGAGACCCCUUGCGGGAGCGCCGGCUGUAAGUUUUGAGGGCUGAGCGCCGGGUGGGGAAGCCGCGCCCCCCCACCCCCACCCCCACCCCCACCCCAAGCUGGCCCCCAGCUGGGUGGUGGCUACCAGCCGGGAGUUGAGUCGAUUUGGCCGUUGUUUUGUAAACUAGCCUUUGUCAGCGGAGUGCAUCUAAAAUACAUUAAACCCUUGUUAA